AUGACAUCCAUUUGUGAAUUAUUGACAAAAAAGCACACUAUUCCGUCAGGAACAACAGAAACCAUUGCUAAUAGCCUUCCAUAGUUCCUUGCAACACCCGAAUCACUUCUCAUAUCAUACUUUGUACUAACUAAAGUUGAUCACUAAAACAAACAUACAAACCAUACAUGUCAAUAGCAAAAAAGGCAUCUAUAAACUUCACACAACAUUCAAUCAGAAACUCAAAUACGAAAAUAAGAUAAAAAUCCAAGAGUAAACCUUCACCUUCCAUGGGUUAGGACCAUUGGACAUAUGUAGUCCCUUGUCAAGGACAUAGUAAAACUUCGACUUACUAAAGGGUUGAAAUUCAGAAGGCGUGGGUACAGAUCUAUAGGGCUCAGAGUUCCAGAGGUAAUUACAACUGUUUGGAAGCGUUCAAAUACAUGCCUAAUAGCAAGUGAAGCAUCAUGACAACUCAGCUGAAUAUUCAAUUUCAAAGCACAAACACUUAUUAUAAUGAGAAAUUAAUACAAUAAAAUCUAAAAGAAAUAAUGAUACAAUAGGUAAGUAAGUAUAUAUAAAAAAAGAAACACCUGACAAAAAUUUGGGAUGCCAAACAAUAACAAAAACAAAGGGCGAAUUCUCUGUUUCUCUUAAUGAUUAACCAACUUCAUUUAUCAUGGGGGCAAUUUCAUCAUUUUACCCGUAAUUACACAUUAUAUGGACUCUGACUUAGAAAACUUGGUGACAGUUAUACAACAUGGGUAUAACAGAUUACUUGACGGAGUUAAAUUCCACAUGUUACUGUAAUUUGGAAUUACCCUCCUUUUGUCUGAAUAUUGGAAAGAGAGCAGAUUAAAAAAAGAACAUAGGGCUGAACUGAUUUGCUAUUCGAAGUUGGACUUGCUGCCGAGUUCGAGUUUAAUAGCUGGUAGUUUGACGAAUAUUGUGGAGUCGACAACAUUGACGAAGGAUCCUGUAAAUGUCUUCUGAAGUUAAGUGUAAGCGCAGAAGAACAAUUUGUGAGAAAAAUGAGGAGAGCACCCUGUGCCAUGUUAGCUUAUUAGUGGUAUAAUUUAGAUUGGAGAAGUAUAUUCAAGGUGCAUUUGCUCAAACUGUGUAGGUUGGCUUAGUUGAGGAGGAGGGAUAUACAUUGAAGAAAAGGGUAUUAGUAAGUCAAUCAAAUUUAUUCUCUACUAUUGUUUAUGGUGCUGUUAAGAUAUUGUUGUCCAUGGGAUUGCAAGAAGCAUCGAAAGCCAAGGAGAAAACAAUAAUCUUGUACCCGACAAUUUUUAAGGUUGAUAGUUUAACUUACGGUGGAGGUGUCAAAGCUAGAUAAGAGGUUGUGAAGGAACAUUCAAAGAGGAUUAGGAGGCCUCCCAACAUGAGUUGCCGGAUUGAGUCAUUUGGUCGGAUUUGUGGGAAAUUUGAUGAUAGGAGAAAACGUUGGGUGUAUGAGAUGGGAUUUGGUGGUCUAUUACAUCUUUCAUGUGAUAUGCAAUUAUCGACGCAGUUGGCGUAUUGGUUGAUGACACGUAUAGAUCCGAUAAGUAAAAUGUUCAUAACCCUAGACGGUGUUGAGUUUAGGUUUUCUAAGAAACAAGUUCGAUGGGUUUUAGGGAUACCAAUGGGUUUAAAGAGUGUUCCUUCGACUAAAACCAUGGCUCAUGAGGAUCGUGAAAAGGUUCAGAGAAAUUUAUUGAAGUAUGGGAAGUCUUGGGAGUCCUCUGGACAAUGUGGUCGUGUUUACACGUCGGUUGGGAUACCAUUGAAUUCUGAAAUGACGGAUCAAUUAGAGGGGUAAUUUGAUCCGGAAAAGGAAGAAGAAUUCAAGACGCUUUUCUUGAUAGUUUAUUUAGAGAUGGUGUUUUGCCCUACACAACCACCCCGUCUUGCGGCUGAUUUGUUACCUGCGAUUUGCUGUGCUACGGAGGCAAUUGAGUAUGACUGGUGUGGUUUAGUGUUGUCUAUUCCUGGGGAGUGUUUCUAGUUUUGCCCGACGUUUAUAUGCUCAUGGGUUUGUGAGUGGAUGUGGCAGGUGUGCUAUAUUUGCCGUUAUUUUUUACCUAGACUGUUUGGCUAGGGAUCCUGUCGAUUGGGAAUCAUUCCCCAGAUUGAAGGUAUGGAAUAUGCAGCAGAUUCGAAAUGCAUUGAAGUUGUUAGUGACCGGGGACUAUGGGAGGUUAGGGGUAUUGGAUGUUGCCUAUGGAGAACAGCACCCAAUGGAGGCACGGUAUAGUGUAGCAGCCAAGGAUGAUUUCGAUGUAAGUGUUGUAGAUGAAACCAAUUGCUACUAUUGUGAUUGUUGUGCUGAUGCAUUAUGGGUGAAAUAUUGUUUUUGUUUAGUUGCAAAGAUGGUAGCAGGGCCUGCUAUCUCCAAGUCCAAGGUUAAGGAUAAGAGAGGAAGGAACUUGAAGUUAAAAGAAAAUAUCUACAAAUAGUGUUACCAUAUGAGUUUAGACUUGACUUAUAAGCAUUUUUUUAUAUUUACUGUUGUAUAAUUCUAGAAAAACAUUUAUCUGUAUUCAUGAUCUUCUGAUAUUUUAUUUUUUGAUGAGCA